GCUAGACUCCGGUAUCGGAAUCCCUACCGUCCGGUGGGACCUCGGAUGUCGGAAACCUCUAGAAGGGUAAAACUAUGAUUUUAUGAAAUGUUUUCAUGUAUUUCAUGUUUUUAAGUAAGAAUUAAAUGAGUUUUUGCAUGAAAAAUCUUUGGAGGAAAACCCAGGUUCGGCCGCCGAACUUUGAAGUUCGGCCGCCGAACAUGCAUGCUUUCGGAGGGACUUUAGGCGCCCGAAAAUUUGGAGUGAGGGAAAUGCAGGUUCGGCCGCCGAACU
rnacentral:lncRNA from 1 species